CCUACGGGAGGCAGCAGUGGGGAAUAUUGGACAAUGGGGGAAACCCUGAUCCAGCGACGCCGCGUGAGUGAAGAAGUAUUUCGGUAUGUAAAGCUCUUUCAGCAGGGAAGAAAAAACUGACGGUACCUGACCAAGAAGCCCCGGCUAACUACGUGCCAGCAGCCGCGGUAAUACGUAGGGGGCAAGCGUUAUCCGGAUUUACUGGGUGGAAAGGGAGCGUAGGCGGUGAUGCAAGUCUGAUGUGAAAGGCAGGGGCGCAACCCGGGGCCUGCUUUUGAAACUGUGGUACUUGAGUGCAGGAGAGGUAGGCGGAAUUCCUAGUGUAGCGGUGAAAUGCGUAGAUAUUAGGAGGAACACCAGUGGCGAAGGCGGCUUACUGGACUGUAACUGACGUUGAGGCGCGAAAGCGUGGGGAGCAAACAGGAUUAGAUACCCGGGUAGUC
rnacentral:rRNA from 1 species